AGCAGCCGCGGUAAUUCCAGCUCCAAUAGCGUAUAUUAAAGUUGUUGCAGUUAAAAAGCUCGUAGUUGAAUUUCGGGAUCAGUACGCUGGUCGUGCCUUUGGUAUGUACUGGUGUCACUGAUUCCUCCCUUCUGAAGAACCGUUAUGCCAUUUAUUUGGUGUGGCGGGAAAUCAGGACUGUUACUUUGAAAAAAUUAGAGUGUUUAAAGCAGGCUCGCGCUUGAAUACAUUAGCAUGGAAUAAUGAAAUAGGACGUUUGAUCUUAUUUUGUUGGUUUCUAGGAUCGACGUAAUGAUUAAUAGGGAUAGUUGGGGGCAUUAGUAUUCAAUUGUCAGAGGUGAAAUUCUUGGAUUUAUUGAAGACUAACUACUGCGAAAGCAUUUGCCAAGGAUGUUUUCAUUAAUCAAGAACGAAAGUUAGGGGAUCGAAGACGAUCAGAUACCGUCGUAGUCUUAACCAUAAACUAUGCCGACUAGGGAUCGGAUGAUGUUAAUUUUUAAUGUACUCAUUCGGCGCCUUA
rnacentral:rRNA from 1 species